rnacentral:snRNA from 1 species
GUGCUCGCUUCGGCAGCACAUAUACUAAAAAAUUGGAACGAUACAGAAAAGAUUAGCAUGGUCCUUGCACAAGGAUGACACGCAAAUUCGUGAAGCAUUCCAUAAAAAA